rnacentral:rRNA from 1 species
UACAGAGGUCCCAAGCGUUGUUCGGAUUCAUUGGGCGUAAAGGGCGCGUAGGCGGCGGGGUCAGUCGGGUGUGAAAUCUUGGGGCUUAACCCCGAAACGGCACUCGAAACUGCCCGGCUGGAGGGCCGGAGAGGAGAUCGGAAUUCACGGUGUAGCAGUGAAAUGCGUAGAGAUCGUGAGGAAGACCCGUGGCGAAGGCGGAUCUCUGGACGGCUAACUGACGCUGAGGCGCGAAGGCCAGGGGAGCGAAACGGG